UUAAAUUGAAGAGUUUGAUCAUGGCUCAGAUUGAACGCUGGCGGCAGGCCUAACACAUGCAAGUCGAGCGGUAACAGGGAGUAGCUUGCUACUUUGCUGACGAGCGGCGGACGGGUGAGUAAUGCUUGGGAACUUGCCUUUGGGAGGGGGAUAAC
rnacentral:rRNA from 1 species